UCUUGUGUUCUCCUCGGCUUUUUCUGUCUUGGAGAGUGACUUGCUUAUAAGGACGUGUUGUGUGACUUUUCCUGGCAAGAUGUGAAGGAAUCUCUAUUUAUCCCAAAUAGAGUGCUGACGACUGACAAAGAAAUGCCCGGCUAAGUCCAGGUUCCUGCCCUGUGAGCUCAUUGUGGCUACUUAAGAGCAUGGUUGAAUCAAGACAGUUAUGUCACAAAAAGCCUACUCAAGUAUUUCAGAAAGCGGCACCCCCAAGUCCCUUGCACAACUUUCAGCAACAAGAAAUGACUACAGAUGGCUUCCACAGCUGUUGCUUGUGCUGUAUCCUCUAUUUGGUCUUCCUGCUCUGGCUUCUGUGGGUAAGAAAAUGCCCUCCUCAAUCCCACAUGACUCCUGCACAUCAGAAAGUGCAUCUUCUGCCUCUGGCUAUCUGUACGACCAAUGCUGCCUUAAGGUGUCUGUGGUCAUUGUCAUCGUUGUCAGUUUACCUCUCUCCAGCCAUCAGUGAACCAGUUCCCCUAUGACAAUGUCCCCAAGGGUGGGGAGAGACCCUGCAGCGGACUCCUUCUUCCUUCUCAUGAGAGGCCACAGAGGGAGAGCUCGAGGCCGGUGUUCUAUGAGCCUCUGCAUCCACAUUGGAACUCUGCAGUCACUAGUGGUCUGCACACUGCAAGGAACGACCUAGGCAAAGGGAACGGGUUGGUACAUGAUGGACCUGCUCCCAUCAUGGGGAAUAGGAGAGUAGAGCUGUAGAUUUUCUAGAACCAUUCUCAUCCCAUGCAGUGUAAUUGUUUCUAAUAAAUGUAAUUUAUUAAACAAUGAAA